rnacentral:lncRNA from 1 species
CCCAGCUCCCUCCCCCUCACACCCACGCCCCUUCCGCCUUCUCCUCCCCCCACUUCCGCUUCCGCCCCACCAGUCACCAACCCCUGCUUUCGCCGCCGCGUCUGCGUCUCUGGGAGCGGCAGCAGGACGGCGAGUGGCUCUCCGAGCAGAUCGAUGGAGGCCCGGCGCGGCUGGCCGGUGGGGGGCGCUGGCUCUCGCUCGCUGGCUCUGGGAUGGAUUUUCCGCGGCCUAGCCUGGACUCCGGACCAGCCACCAUCUUAGAGGAGAGGAGCGGGCUGUGCAGUGGGACGGAGGGGCUUUGGGGUCGGGCCCUGCCGCAGACAGAUACUGGGAACCAGCUCUACUAUUAUUUAUAUACAGAACAUUUUGAUGUCAUGGAGGUACUGUUUUCAAAAGACCUGCACGUAACUGGCUGAAAAAAAUGGCUCCACAAGAUGACAAUCUCAGCCCUAAUAUGGUCUAAAUGGAGACAGCUUUCAUCUUGACAAUGGCAGCUUGAAGUCUAUUAAAGUCCAAGCAUUUAUUUUGUUUUUAAAAAUUAUUGUGCAGGUAUGUAAAAUAUAAAUAUCAGUAAUUAUUUUCUCAACGUUCUUUUUUAUUUCAGCAUGUUUUUCUCAA